AAACUUAAAAAACAUCCCCCCCUGUGUUGAAUGAGAGACCUCUACACUGAGGAGGGGAUAUGAAUAUGCGCGUAAGCAACAGAAAUGCUGGUUUGGAAGCCAAGAAUUUUGCUUGUUAUCUGGAAAAGAUAUAUUAACAUACAGAGCUGAAGCUGAUGACAUCGACAAUAAAAAUAGUACUGCAACGAGCUUGAAAGGAAUCUGGUUGCAGCGUGAUCUAUCAACCCGUCUCCUGCCUGCGCACACGGGGACGCUUGCCGCAGCCCCGCCUGAAAUGGCAAAAGAUCCACCAGGAAAGCAAGCCUAUCGUCGAAGGGAGAGGAAGAAUGUGUAUCAUGCCUAAGAACGUGUGUCUGUCUGCAGGGGGAGGUGGGGUACACGACACGAAGCUGGUGACCCCAAGGGGGACUGGUGCCACUGGGGGGCACUUUCUCAAUUUUAUACCAUGUCGCUUUGCUACGUGGUAAAAAAAAAAAAAAAUUUUUUUUAAUGUUAAAAGGCUCUACUCAGGUUCACAGAUGACAACUGCUGGCCAAGACAGACCAGGAAUCUGACAGGACACAGGCCAUUUCCUCCCCGUGGCCUCUCCUGCCUGGGCAUCUGCUGUGUUCUCCCCUAGUGGGGCUCCUAGAAUAGACCAUCGAUGGUAAAAACCUAAUUCUCUUUUGCUCUUUAUUUCCCUAAUGCCUUGGAGACAGAGGCUUUAAUAAGACCAAUGAAAAUGAGUUACUGCAAAGAUGAAAUGUAAAAAGCCACCAAGACUUGCAAAAUUCAGGGUCCAAUAUUUUUAUUAGAUUGAAUAGACAUAAAGUUCCUGUGUCAAAUUGCUUUUAAACAGUGGUUCUCAAUUUGGGGGACGUGAGGAGGGGGCUCUGUGAUUUUUGCCCCCAGGGGACAUUUGGCAACGCCUGGAGACACUGAGGAUUGACUGAUUCAACCAGUCAAUGCUAAAGGAAAUCAACCUGAAUAUUCAUUGGAAGGACUGAUGCUGAAGCUGAAACUCCAAUACUUUGGCCACUUGAUGCGAAGAACUGACUCAUUUGAAAAGACCCUGAUGCUGGGAAAGAUUGAAGGCAAGA
rnacentral:lncRNA from 1 species